UGUUAAGAACGAAUUUCUCGUUUCGCUCGAUACCACGAGCAUUUUUUCUACGAGUUGCGUUGCGUCGACGUACACCAUGUUCAAAUAUUCGACGAUCUGCAAAAUUUUCGGCGGGUGAACAAAAUUAAGAAUAUCCAGAAAUUGCAGUUAAUGGUA